CCCGCGCACCUCGCUCCCCCUCCCGGCCGGCGCUCGCAGUGGCGCGCCUGCUCGCUCUCCCGCUAAGCGACGAGUCUUCAACAAGUUGGAGGAAGGCAGGAACGCAGGGGUUAAGCUCGGAAAGCCGCAAUUACCAAGAUCGUGACCCUCCCACACAGUACAGUAACUUAUAUACUUACCUGGAAGAACCCGCUUUGCCGCCGGGCAAACACCCGUGGGGGGCGGGGAGGGGCCGGAGGGAGCGGGCCGGCAGGAGAGGGGCUGCUUCCAGCUGGCUGCAGUGCGGACGGGACCGGCGCGCUCCCGUGGCCCCCAGACCGAGGUGGUCAAACCUGUCCUGACACCCAGAGGUCUGCAUGAGGGG
rnacentral:lncRNA from 10 species